AUUAUGCGAAUCGGUUCUUUGAGCAUGGGAAUAAACUCUGGAUUUCAUGGAUUAUUGUUUACAUCUUCACAAACCCUUAUUUUGCUUCGUCCCCACAAGUUGAAGGUGAAUUAAGGAAUGGAGAGGCGUGGAAUAGUACUUGCAACCAGAAUGCUGAUAUUGGAAUAUCAUGGGCCACCAGUUCUUCCCAAACACGGCGAACUGCAUUUGUUCCACCUUGCAUUCCCACAAUAGCACCAGAUAUAAUCCAGUCAGGAAGCUCAGGUGGUCUGCCUAUGGAUUCAGUGAAUUGUUCAAUCAGCUCAGAAGAUUGGAAGAAGUUACAUAGAAGAAAAUUCACCUGUAUCUGAACUCUGUCAUCCUGUGUGAGAUCAAAGACUGAAUAGUCGUAACCUUCAAGCCAUUGCAGUAGAGAUGAAUGCUUGACCUGGGAUUGUAGACCAUAUGGAUCUUGUAGGCUGUGAUUUAUGAGAGAUGGAGGCAUACCCACCAUUUGCUGAUCUCCAAACUAGCUGAAAAUCCUUUCCAAUGGGAAAGAUUUGGUGUGGUGAAAGGGUAGUUUGGGAAUUCAAAAUUAGUGUUCCCUGUUUGAAGGGUAAAGUUUUGGGUUUUGAAGGGAAGGGAUUGUUGAGAUGUUUAUUGUGUUUCUUGGUGAUUUUGAGGGUCGACAUUCUUGAAAAAAUUAUAUCUGUCAGAAAGAUCGCUGGAUCCAAAUACGGGGAUCA